CAUACAUACCUUAACCAUCCUUAUCUCGUUAGUGCAUUUGACCAAAUCCACUGCUCAUUAUGUUGGGGACGGCCAGGUCGAAAGAGACAGGCAGUGCCAAACAGCGCUGAAUACGUGUACUCAUAGACAGCUGACUAUAGCCUGGUCGGUGGGGAUCUUGUGUUGAGCCCGCAGUGUCUGGCUAGAAAUGAAUGUUGAUGAGCCGACAUGGAAAGGGAGUUCGUAUGGUUAAGAAGUGAGUAACGCUCGGUUGCAGCGUCUGUUCUUUAUAAGUUCACUUCCAUUUCUCAAAUAAAAUUUAGAUAUGAAAAUUCUGGCAUAGUUUUCUAGCCUCGACGAGAUCAAUGUGAAGAUCGUUCAGUGAUAUCCCGUAAUGGAUCUCGUGGUUUCCUACCAUGUUUCGUUAUAUGUGUAUUUCUGUGAAUAUACAAGACAGUCUCGAGUGGUAUCUUCGUCCAGUAUCAGUGAUUAUAGCAUCCGUCCCGUUCAACCCGUUAAGAACUCGUGAUCUCUGACCUCUGGAAAUAGUAACGUUGGGCAGGUUACAGUGUGUUUGUGAAGUACUGUAUGGUUCCCGCAUUUAGAAAAGUUCUCGAGUCUUCACUCGCAGUAUUUGUAUAUAAAUACAGUAUAAUUACUUUAUUGUAAUAGUACGUCUAUACACAACAGAACGAUAUUGCGCGUGUUGAAUGGACGAUUGUUUGGCGGCCAUUAGACAGCAAUUUAGCAACAUUUCAACGCAUAAUGGAAGUUCAUCGCAGUAGAGCCUAGAAAGUGCGGACGUCGAGUAUGGGGACAAACGCCAGAAGCAUCAGCCAGAAUAGACGGUCUCCCGGUUGAGAGUCAUGCCCAGGAUCUCCCCAAUAAGAAGCGACACGACACCGUUACUGUUGGUGAGCUCCUUGCUCAGGGCCUGCUGAUGUACGAAAGCACCAAAUUCUGACAUAAUGAUGAUGACGGAUACAAACUUCAGAGCAGAAAGCAGGAAAUAAAAUGUCCCAGAGAAAAGCAAAAAUGAUUAAUAAUUCACUCAGCUGAAAAGUAAAGAAUCUGUGGCUUUAAUGAUAACACACCACAGAAUGCGAAGGGAACUGGACAUCGCUGCAUUACCAAUAAAGCUAAUGGAAAAGCGAAGAUAUUUUAUUAUCGAAACAACAGACUUGUAGUAGCGAUACAUCUCAGUGCUUGCCACUGAAUUCACCAGGGGAUGAAAUGUUCCACAGAGCAUUAUCUCAGAACAUCAAUUGUAUAAAGAAAAGUCAGAAAGAAACAAAGGACCAGCUCAUCGGAAAGAAAAGCCUAUAUGCAAGGAUAACUGAAGAGCAUUCUUUGUAUCAGGAUAAUUGAAAGUGAAUAAUUCUCUAAGGAAGAGUUCUAUCUUCUCGAAUAUA